AGUUCCCGAAAUUGUCAUAAGGCAAGUGUGCGGUAACCCUAAGAAAUCAGAGAGGCGCCGACAUUUUUGUCUUAUCAUGCCAGUAGCAAGGCUGUCUUGUCUCCCCCCGACUACUAGAAUUCAAUCUGAACUAGUUCACUCCUGCCAGAUCCGGCCCACAUCAGGCCGUUGUCUUCAUCCGGUUUUACGUGUCCCGCACGAACGUCACGAACAUCUACUGCAAAGCAUCUGUAAAGGCAGGCAACGUUGGCCCGCCAGCCCCAGGGCCGGGUGAAAUCUCACUGCCUGCGCCGAGAACCAACACAGACCAGUCCCUAGUCAAUCGCUUCAGACUGAGCCAUCCCGGUUUACGAGAGACGUACAUUAAUAAAAAUAAAAAUAAACUCGAAUUUCUGUCCAUUCGAAGGCGCUGUGAAUGAGUGAAAUGUUAUUAUUUGUCGACGUCAUCUACUGCAAGAGACGAAGCUUAUAACAAAUACUCCACGAGGAAACAAACGGUCAAGUUAUCUGUUCUGGCACAGAUUACACCUUAGAAAUGGCCUCGACAAACAGCCAGCCUCGGCGGACAAGCCGGCGCAUGCUCGGUAACGAACGACUCGUGAGUCAAACAUGGCCGAACACGGUCGGACGUUCCAGUCCGUGGAAACAAUUGUUUUCCUACACAGCCAAUAGCACCAAUGCUGGAAAUAAUGGGCGUGUUCACACGCCGAGAAGAUACAAGCUGACAGCCAGCAGAAAUAUAAAUACAGAACGAAUGUGAAGCUGUGAUACAGACCACGAAGACCUUGGUCAGCACAGAAUUUUGGCGUCCGCAAAGAAAAUUUGCAAAAAUGCGUACAAUGGUCCUGGCGCUGCACACACUACAGUAUUAAGAUGCCUUUAUUCCAAUCUUAGAAAAAUGUUUCCUUAACGACCCAAUACCUUUUCAAACGUAACGUAAUAUCAUCCAUUCUUAUUAUGGAUCAAAUCAUGUAUUAAAAACAUGAACGCUAUUUUUUAUAAAAAUUAAUAAAAUGUGUAUUAGUAAAGUAA